rnacentral:rRNA from 1 species
AUUGAACGCUGGCGGCAUGCCUAACACAUGCAAGUCGAACGGGGCAGCAAUGCCUAGUGGCGGACGGGUGAGGAAUACGUAGGAAUCUGCCCUUAAGUGGGGGAUAACCAGGGGAAACCCUGACUAAUACCGCAUGAUCUCUUCGGAGCAAAGAGGGGGACCGCAAGGCCUCUCGCUUCUGGAUGAGCAUACGUCUGAUUAGCUAGUUGGUAGGGUAAAGGCCUACCAAGGCGACGAUCAGUAACUGGUCUGAGAGGAUGAGCAGUCACACCGGAACUGAGACACGGUCCGGACUCCUACGGGAGGCAGCAGUGGGGAAUAUUGGACAAUGGGCGCAAGCCUGAUCCAGCAAUGCCGCGUGUGUGAAGAAGGCCUUCGUGUUGUAAAGCACUUUAGCCUGGAAAGAAAAAACUUUGGUUAACACCCAAAGUCUUGACGGUACCAGGAGAAUAAGCACCGGCUAACUCUGUGCCAGCAGCCGCAGUAAGAC